AUCUGCACAUCCACAUGGACAACAAACAGUUGUUAGAAAAACUGGUGAGUAGCAUCAAAAUAAGCUGAUGGAUGGCCAAGACACAUCCAAUGGCUUCUAUGUUAGCACUACAGCAUACACAUUACGAUUAAAGCGUAGCGUACAUGCAGUUCCUAGGUUUCCAUUUCAUGAAGAACAGAGAUCUGAAAUACUAAGCACAUACCACAUAGUGAUGAUUUUCAAGAGCACGAAUCCGAAGCAAAACUGACAGUCAAUACACAGUAGGUGUUCACAUCACAAUCUACUACUAAAUCCUGUUGGGCGUGCAGCACAAACAGGGGCAGACCAAACAGAGUAGGUGUUCAAUAUGACAGUCUAGUAGUACUAGCACUCCACUAAAUCCUGUUGGGCGUGCAGCACAAACAGGGGCAGACCAAAAACAGAGUAGGUGUUCAAUAUGACAGUCUAGUAGUACUAGCACUCCACUAAAUCCUGUUGGGCGUGCAGCACAAACAGGUUCCAAGCUAACUUGGGGCACCGGCGUUCAGCUGAGCCCCCGAAUUUAUUUGGAAGAUAAACUGCUACUAGGACUCCAUGUCUCCAUCCAAGUACGCAAGAUUGAAACGUACAUACAUACAUACAGUUCAAAUACAUACUCCGUACGUACCAUUUUCUAAGGAAAACAUACAUCCUAGGUGCCCGUUCCAUGAAGAACAGAGAUCUCAUCUCAGAAAUGAAACACACAGUGAACAUUUUCAGAAGCAGGAGAUCCUGGCCAAACUGACAGCCAAUACAAGGUAGGUCCUCGGCUCCUGGCAACAC
rnacentral:lncRNA from 1 species